ensembl:lncRNA
GCAUAGCCGAUUAACAGUGUUGUGAUAGUUUCAGGUGAACAGCGAAGGGACUCAGACAAGGCAAAUUCUUAACCACUGGACUACCGGGGACAUCCUUCUCUCAUGUUUAGGAAACUGAUGUUCAGAAAGCCUCAGGGACUCGCCAAAGGCUGAAAUCCAACUGAAAGGAGAACAUAUCUUGUAUGUGGGGAGAGGACUUCUGCCAGCCAGAGCGGUGGAGCCAGGCACACUUGCAGAUGCCUCCAGAAAGCCUUGUUUUUGUCUAGAAACCAAGAAGUGCUUUAAAAAUCCAGCUUGUAGCUUUAAUUGGCUACUUGCACACCUGACACUUGAGCACUCUGUCCCAGCUAGACUGGGAUCCUGACAAGGAGACCCCGCCGCCGCCGCCGCCAAGUCGUUUCAGUCGUGUCCGACUCUGUGCGACCCCACGGACUGCAGCCUACCAGGCUUCUCCGUCCAUGGGAUUCUCCAGGCAAGAACACUGGAGUGGGUUGCCAUUUCCUUCUCCAAGGAGACCCCAGCUUAUGCCAAAUCUUCACCAGGGAUUGAACUCAUGCUUCCUAUAUUGGGAACAUAGAGUCUUAAUCACUGGACCACCGGGGAAGUCUGACACAUUGAUUGCAGUCUUUUGAAAGACCCUGAGGCAGAGCUCCUGGUGCACAGAAAUUGUGAGAUGAUAUAUAAUAUAGUAA